rnacentral:rRNA from 1 species
UACGUAGGGACCAAGCGUUGUUCGGAUUUACUGGGCGUAAAGGGCGCGUAGGCGGCGUGUUAAGUCACUUGUGAAAUCUCUGAGCUUAACUCAGAACGGUCAAGUGAUACUGAUGUGCUAGAGUGCAGAAGGGGCAACCGGAAUUCUUGGUGUAGCGGUGAAAUGCGUAGAUAUCAGGAGGAACACCGAUGGCGAAGGCAGCUCGCUGGGACGGUACUGACGCUGAGGCGCGAAAGCGUGGGGAGCAAACAGG